GGCGACCUGGCUCAGUGGUUAGAGCACUGGUCUUUUAAACCAGGGGUCGUGAGUUCAAUCCCUCACUGGUGUGG
rnacentral:tRNA from 13 species